CUUAACCACUGGACCACCAGGGAAGUCUCAGCUAUUUCUUAAUAAGGUCAAAUAUCUGAACUGUGUUCAAUUAUGUGACAGAUGGACCCAAUUGUUUCUCUUUUUAUUUUUUUAACCAUUGGUUUGCUUGAAAUUGGUAUCCGACAAGGUCCAUAUAUUGCAUUUGGUUGUUAUUUGUCUGUUUUAAUCUCUAAGUUCUCCGUCUGUUUUCCCUUUAAAUUAAUUAUGUAAGAAAUCUAGUUGUUUUGUCAUAUAGCGUUUCUUCCCACAUUCUGGAUUUUGUUGAUUGUAUCACUGUAAAGUAAUUUAACUUGUUUUUGUACUCCCUGUAUAGCCUGUAAACAGAUCGGCUUGAUCAGAUUCCAAUUCAAUUUAUUUAAUGCCCUCUCUUGAAUCAUACUACACAGAUGCCCAGAACUUCCAGAUUUGAGUCCCCACUGUAUUCCCCAAAGAAUGCGUAUCUCCUAUCAUAAGUGGCAUAUGAAGACCAUGGACCUACUUCAGUGAGAACAAUGGAUACAGACAUUUACAAGAUUGUGGUGACCUGUGUUACGGUUAUAAGUUGGUGAGAAAGAGGUCUGAAAGAAGGCACAUGGCCUCGUGAGCUUCUGGGUGUUGUCAAAUCCAAUUCUCUCUCAAGUACCGAAUGCCCAGAUGCAUUUACUGGGGAUGCAAGAGUGUCACUUAAGCAGUGGUUUUUGUCAAUAUAAAUAGAAGCAUCUUGAUUAAAGUGUGAGGAGAUAGAAACCAUACUGAUUUGGGCAAUUUCGGCUCCAAUAAUGUCUAAUUUACUGUGAAGGGGGAAUAUGUUCUAAGUUAAUGUUCUUAAAAGCAACUUCCAAAUUUCUCCUUAAAAAAUAUUUACUUUAUUAAAAAGCUGCUUGAGGAAGAGCUGUUUUAUUGCAUGGCACAGAUUCAAUGUACAGAUGUUAUCUUAGAACUAUUAAUUAAGGAGUUCCCUUGUGACUUUGAAUAUUCAAUACCAGCUGUUAUUCACAUCAAUAUUUUAAUAUUUUACCAGAAAGAUACUUAAUAAAAGGAUUGAUACAUAUUUAACUGUGUAAAGUGCUAGUUAAACUUGUUCAAAUGGGUCAGAGGGAAAGGGAAAUAAAUAACAUUCCUAUACGCACAAGCUCUACUUAUAUAUCUUGCUUAAUCUUUAUGACUAUUCCAUGAGGUAGAUUUUAAUUCUCAUUUGAUAAGUGAGGAAGCUAAGGCUCCAGAAGGGUUAUAUAACUUUCCUGAAGAUACACUGCUAAUAAAUGGCAGAAUUGGGAUUUGAACCUAAGUGUCCCUGAUUGCAAAGCCUGGUUUUUUUUAUUUUUACAUUAUCAUAUAUUUUUUAUUUUAAAAAAUCUAAUAUUUUAAUAUUAAAAUAAAAUUAAAAACAGCAUCCUUUUCUCACCAUUAAAAGUAGGAUA